rnacentral:rRNA from 1 species
GAUACGACUUAUCUCUAAGUGGAGAGUGACGGAAUAUGAACCUAAUUUAUAACUUUUUCGAUUCUUUCCUACGAUUAGAUAAAUUAAUUUACAGCAUUAGUUUCCCUAAUAAACUAUGUGUCAUUUGUAAAAUUUAAAUUGCAAUUUAUUUUUUUAAACCACACAUAAGUCAAAUAUUAGUAAAUAAAAUUGAGGGUUGUCAGUUUUAGGACCAAAAUUCUCUAAUUUAAAUCACUAAUUUAGUUUAAUUUUAUUACCUUGUAAAAUCUCAUACUCGGGUUCUAUUCCGGUUUUGUAAAACUUAAUAAAUAUUCAACAUACUUCUUUUUUAUUCUUAGAACGGGAUAAAAAUCUGUUUAGGGACAGUUAUAUAAAAUUAUAUUAAAAGUAUAACCGCA